rnacentral:rRNA from 1 species
UUCGCAAUGCCCGAAAGGGUGAACGAGCGACGCCGCGUGCGGGAUGAAGGCCUUCGGGUUGUAAAGCCCUGUUAACUACUAUGAACCGCGAGGUGGUGAACAACCAUCCCGCCUGACGUAAGUAGCAAAGAAAGCACCGGCUAACUACGUGCCAGCAGCCGCGGUAAUACGUAGGGUGCUAACGUUGUUCGGAAUCACUGGGCAUAAAGAGCGCGUAGGCGGUCUGAUAAGUCAGGUGUGAAAUCCCCCGGCUCAACCGGGGAACUGCACCUGAUACUGUCGGGCUUGAGUGCAGGAGGGGAGAGCGGAAUUCCUGGUGGAGCGGUGAAAUGCGUAGAUAUCAGGAGGAACGCCGGCGGCGAAAGCGGCUCUCUGGUCUGUUACUGACGCUGAGUGCGCGAAAGCUAGGGGAGCAAACGGGAUUAGAUACCCCGGUAGUCCUAGCCCUAAACGAUGGGCACUAAGUAGAGGGGUUUU